GGUACUCCAGGGCAGGCGAGCGGGGUAUGACGGAGGGUUGGAGAGUUGAGCGGAAUUAAUGGUGGUAAAGCGGGCGUAGGUGGUGUGUUAAGCGAGAUGUGAAAGCCCUGGGCUCAACGUAGGAAUAGCAUUUCGAACUGGCGAACUAGAGUCUUGUAGAGGGGGGUAGAAUUCCAGGUGUAGCGGUGAAAUGCGUAGAGAUCUGGAGGAAUACCGGUGGCGAAGGCGGCCCCCUGGACAAAGACUGACGCUCAGGUGCGAAAGCGUGGGGAGCAAACAGGAUUAGAUACCCUUGUAGUC
rnacentral:rRNA from 1 species